AAUAGUAACUGUGAUUUUUGCUUUUGUUUUGUUCUUUUCAUUUAAUUAGCAGAUUUUUCUUGUUUUACUUUUUGUCGUUUUUACGUCCUAUUUAUUUAUUGGUUUUCGUGGGGUUUCACCUGCCUCGGCACGCUUGUAGUGUUCUGAGGACAACUUGUGAGAGUUGUUCUUUCCUUCUACCAUGUGAAUCCCACGGAUCGCCUUGUCAGCUUUGUAUGUAGGAGCCUUUACUCAUUAAAUCAUCUCAUUGGCCAAGUUUGUUUCUUCAAAUUUUUCUCUUAUUUAUAUGUGUACGUGUGUGGCCAGAGAAGGAGGUUGAAUAUCUUCUUCUGUGACACUUGGACUUUAUUCCCCUGGGACAAAGUUUCUUGCUUAACUUGGAGGAAAGCUGGCAGCCAGCCCACCCCAGUGGACCCCCCCCCCCCCAUCUCUCCAUAUCACUCAAUUUUCCUAUGUAGAUGCUAGAGAUUCAGAUUCAGGGUCUCACACUUGGAGAUUCACCCUUAGUCUUUAAACCAUCCCUCCAGCUUAUUUUUGGCUCAGUAUGUUAUCCUGACUUGCUGGGAACUCGUUACAGAGCCAGAUAUGACCUUGAACUUGUAGUAGUCUCUCUAUAAAGCCUGAACAUUUCUGUGACUAGAGUUUAAUUUAUAGUUAAUGUGUUACUCUACCUGAUGUUGAUUGUUUUAAUCCAUACUCAAGGGCAGCAAUAAAAUUAUAUCACACAGACUAGAUUACUUCUGAAUUCGUUUUCUCAAAGUAUCAAUGGUGUUAUUUGGCCAUGUUGUUCAUAAAUAACAUGGUUUUGUUUAUUAUUUAAAAGUAAAGCCAUAAAGACGCCUCGUUGGGUAAAGGGGUUUUCCAACAAGUUGGAUAACCUGAGUUCCAUUCCUAGAACCCAGAUACUAUAAGGAAAGAACCCACUCUCAAAAGUUGUCCUCUGACCUCCAUAGGUGCUCUGUGAUAGCCAUAUUGAUUGCUUUUCUGGUGCUAUGCUUAAACACUGACCAAAAGCAAUUCAAGGAGGAAGGGUUUUAUUUGGCUUAUAACUUUGUCUUUGAGGGAAGUCAGGGCAUGAUGGGUGCACAAAAGUUCUUGCAUCCACAGAGCAUUAGGAAGCCAGGAAUGUUAAACACAUUGGGUUCUCUCCUCAGUGGAAGAGACAAAAAUGCUUGCUUUCCCAUCCAGAAGACUAGAAGUAGAUAUUGUUAAUGACCUGGUGACAUCUGAGCUGUCUGCGGAGGCAGACCAAACUCACCUUUUGCUAUAGAGGCAGACCUUACCCAAAUCCUGCAAGGUGUUUAUUUCACAACAUCUCUCCCUCCAUUGCUUCUAAUGAAUAAAACCCAUCCUUAUCAGGGAUGCCACAUGUAUUUUAUGGCCUGCUAACCUCUAUGCUAUUGAUCAGAGAUCGCACGAGAAUCUAGGAUAUUUAGCUGUAGAACCCAUCUCCAUGGUCACAUGUACUCUGUAAAGGAAUUUCUAUAUAGUAAAACCUUCAGCUUUAUUGUGCCCUUAGAUCUAGAAUGAUUGUUUCCUGGAAGGAAGCUUUUUCCCAAACUACUGUGUUUAAAAUAUGCUGACAAUGAACCGCCUAACAUUAGACUCCCUGAGUCUGGUCUAGGUUGGUGAAGUCAAUGUAGACCAUUUUCAUUCUCUUCGCUUCAUGGGUUGGGUCAACUGCAGGGAUGCAUUCCUCAAGGUGGUGUAAUGGCUAUUCCUGGUUGUCAACUUGGCUAUAUAUCCAGAAUUGGAGGGUUCACCUGUGAUCCAGAUCUUGAGGCUGGAAGACACAAGUUUCUGACCUGAAUCUUAGCAUGGGGCAUAUUGGCUAUGAAGGGCUUAGGCCCAGGCAAGGUGGUUCACACCUUUAAUCCCAGGAGACUAAGGCAAGGAGAUCUCUGAGUUCAAGGUCAGCCUGGGACAAAACAAGUCCCAUAUCCAGGCAUGGUAGUACACACCUUUAAUCUGGGCCACACCUUCUGCUGGAGACCUAUAUAAGGACAUUGGAAGAAGGAAGACUCACUCUUCUUGCCUGCUUGCACUUACUUGCCAACACAUCUGUUGGAGCCUACUUCUACAGAAGACCAGCUGAAACAACUAGCCUCGUGGGACUGAGUAACUACUAGAUCCUUGGACUUCCCAUUCACAGCUGACCACUGUUGGGUUAGUUGGACUACAGACUCAGGAACGUUGCGGCUCUAACUUUGAACCAGCUAGUCUAAGUCAAAGGAAGAAAAAGGGACACUUUGAAGUGAUUAUGGCUGUGAGUGCUAUGGAGGCAUAUGAGCAGGUCCAGAAGGGCCCCCUAAAGCUGAAAGGCGUGGCGGAGCUUGGAGUGACAAAGCGAAAGAAGAAGAAGGACAAAGACAAGGCCAAGAUGCUGGAGGCCAUGGGGACAAGCAAGAAGAGUGAGGAGGAGGAGAAGAGGCACUGCAUGGACAAGCGCACGCCAGCGCAGGCAGCCUUCGAAAGGAUGCAGGAGAAGCGGCAAAUGGAAAGAAUCUUGAAGAAGGCGUCAAAAACCCACAAGCAGAGAGUGGAGGACUUCAACCGACACCUGGACACACUCACUGAGCACUAUGACAUUCCUAAAGUCAGCUGGACCAAGUAACCUGC